AAGCUAUUGUUUCUAGAAGCUUCUCUAAUCAAACGACGAGCGUUCGCCAAAACAGCCUCAACCUUUUCCGAUUUACUGUAACUUCUACGUAAACCGCUGUUCACAAACCCCCGCCAUUCUGCGCUCGAUAAAUCGUGUUUACCCUCUUUCUUCUGAUCACAUAUAGUAACAAACAAUAAUUAUCUAUUAUUAUUUUUUCGAAACAAAAUAAAAUAUAUAAGAUAUAUAAUUAUACGAGACUUACUAUUUCGUGAUGCAAUAGAGAGCCACUCAAGACGAUAGAAUCGGAUACGUUAGUGGAAAUUCGACUAUUUUGAUCUUCGAUAGUAUUAUUGCCGAAUGAAUUACCGAGAGAAAACGAGCUUAAAAACUCGAGGGAUUUCCACGAAAACGAUGAAGUAAUAGAUUUUCGAGGACCUAAAUUACAUGCAAUAAUUGAGAAGAGGAGCAAAGGGGUUAAAAGUAAGAAAAUUAAUAUGGAAGGAGAAAAUGAAAAAUAUGAAGACCAAGGUAGCUUUCUUGAUGAUGAUGAAG
rnacentral:lncRNA from 1 species